CCUACGGGGGGCUGCAGUGAGGAAUAUUGGUCAAUGGACGCAAGUCUGAACCAGCCAUGCCGCGUGCAGGAAGACGGCUCUAUGAGUGGUAAACUGCUUUUGUACGAGGGUAAACGCAGAUACGCGAAUCUGUCUGAAAGUAUCGUACGAAUACGGAUCGGCUAACUCCGGGCAAGCAGCCGCGGUAAUCCGGAGGAUUCAAGGGUUAUCCGGUUUUAUUGGGUUUAAGGGGUGCGCAGGCGGAUUUUUAAGUUAGCGGUAAAAUCGUGGGGCUCAACCCCAUCCAGCCGUUGAAACUGGGGAUCUAGAGUGUGCGAGAGGUAUGCGGAAUGCGUGGUGUAGCGGUGAAAUGCAUAGAUAUCACGCAGAACCCCGAUUGCGAAGGCAGCAUACCGGUGCACAACUGACGCUCAGGCACGAAAGCGUGGGUAUCGAACAGGAUUAGAUACCCGAGUAGUC
rnacentral:rRNA from 1 species